rnacentral:rRNA from 1 species
UACAGCGGGAAGCCACCUGGCGACAGGGAGCGGAACCCGAAAGCCUGUCUCAGUUCGGAUUGGAGCUGCAACCCGACUCCAUGAAGCUGGAUUCGCUAGUAAUCGCGCAUCAGCCACGGCGCGGUGAAUACGUUCCCGGGCCUUGUACACACCGCCCGUCAAGCCAUGGAAGCCGGGGGUGCCUGAAGUGCGCUGCCGCAAGGAGCGCCCUAGGGUAAAACCGGUGACUGGGGCUAAGUCGUAACAAGGUAGC